rnacentral:rRNA from 1 species
UACGAAGGGGGCUAGCGUUGCUCGGAAUCACUGGGCGUAAAGGGCGCGUAGGCGGCGUUUUAAGUCGGGGGUGAAAGCCUGUGGCUCAACCACAGAAUGGCCUUCGAUACUGGGACGCUUGAGUAUGGUAGAGGUUGGUGGAACUGCGAGUGUAGAGGUGAAAUUCGUAGAUAUUCGCAAGAACACCGGUGGCGAAGGCGGCUCACUGGCCCGGUACUGACGCUGAGGUGCGAAAGCGUGGGGAGCAAACAGG